UACAGAGGUCCCAAGCGUUGUUCGGAUUCAUUGGGCGUAAAGGGUGCGUAGGCGGCGCGGUAAGUCGGGUGUGAAAUCUCGGAGCUUAACUCCGAAACUGCAUUCGAUACUGCCGUGCUUGAGGACUGGAGAGGAGACUGGAAUUUACGGUGUAGCGGUGAAAUGCGUAGAUAUUGGGAGGAACACCGGUGGCGAAGGCGGCCACCUGGGCCGGAACUGACGCUGAGGCGCGAAAGCGUGGGGAGCAAACGGG
rnacentral:rRNA from 1 species